CAGUAGCCGCGGGAAUACGUAGGGCGCAAGCGUUAUCCGGAAUUAUUGGGCGUAAAGAGCUCGUAGGCGGUUUGUCGCGUCUGCCGUGAAAGUCCGGGGCUCAACCCCGGAUCUGCGGUGGGUACGGGCAGACUAGAGUGAUGUAGGGGAGACUGGAAUUCCUGGUGUAGCGGUGAAAUGCGCAGAUAUCAGGAGGAACACCGAUGGCGAAGGCAGGUCUCUGGGCAUUAACUGACGCUGAGGAGCGAAAGCAUGGGGAGCGAACAGGAUUAGAUACCCCAGUAGUCCCUGUCUCUUAUAC
rnacentral:rRNA from 1 species